GACUGCCAUUGGUUUAGCGGCCUCAUCCGGGCACUCGUUGCUAGCUCUGUUGCUCAGCCUGGUUGUCCAAAUAUGGCGGAGGCAUCCUUUGGGAGUUCGAGUCCAGUUGGCUCCUUAUCGUCUGAGGAUCAUGACUUUGACCCUUCUGCUGAAAUGCUGGUUCAUGAUUAUGAUGAUGAGCAAACUCUCGAAGAGGAGGAAAUGAUGGAAGAAAAGAAAAAUUUCAGCUCUGAAAUUGAAGAUUUAGAAAAGGAAGGAAACAUGCCAUUGGAAGAUUUACUGGCAUUCUAUGGAUAUGAACCCACGAUUCCAGUUAUGGCAGGUUCCAGUGUGAAUAGCUCUCCAAGUGAACUUGCAGAUGAACUUCCAGAUAUGACAUUAGAUAAAGAAGAAAUAGCUAAAGACCUCUUGUCGUGUGAUGAUGAAGAAACACAGUCCUCUGCUGAUGACUUGAUGCCGUCAGUUACUUCACAUGCGGCUACAGACUUCUUUCCUCGGCCAUUAAGAUCAAACACUACUUGUGAUGGAGAUAAAGAAUCAGAUGGUGAAGAUGUGGAGGUAGACAGUGGUAAUACAUCCGAAGAUUUGAGAAAGGAAAUAAUGGUUGGUUCAAAGUAUCAGGCUGAAAUUCCACCUUACCUUGGCAGGUGUACUGAUGAUGAAAAGGCCUAUGAAAAUGAAGACCAUUUACUUUGGAAUCCUGAUGUGAUCUCAGAAAAUAAAGUUAAAGAAUACCUUUUUGAAAGCUACGUAAGAACAGGAAAUUUAAAAAUGAUUGGCAGUAUUCCUGAAGGACUACAAACACGGGACAAUGAACAAGCACUGUACGAACUUCUCAAGAGUAGACAUAAUGUUAAAGAAGCAAUUGAGAGAUACUGUUCAAAUGGAAAGGCAUCUCAGGAAGAGAUGACAGCAUGGACAGAAGACGAAUGCAGAAGCUUUGAACAUGCACUUCUAAUUUAUGGAAAAGACUUCCAUCUCAUACAGAAAAACAAGGUGAAAACCAGAACAGUUGCUGAGUGUGUGGCUUUCUAUUACAUGUGGAAAAAGUCAGAACGUUAUGAUUACUUUGCUCAGCAAACAAGAUUUGGAAAAAAGAGAUAUAACCAUCAUCCAGGAGUUACGGAUUACAUGGAUCAUUUGGUAGAUGAAGCAGAAGCCCUUGGUGGAGCAGUGCAUUCUUCAGCCUUGACAUCUAAUAAUCGAACAGAAACCAUUCCUGAUCAACAGCUAAGCAUUCUGAACUCUAUCACUGCCAAUGAGUUGACAGCACUGACAAAUAGUGUAAAUGCAGUCUGCCACACUUCAGAUGUGAACUGCCUGGAUGAUGCCUUUUCACCUAUGGACAGUUUAUCCCAAGCAGCAGUUAAUCAUGUGCCUGUUGGAACAGAAGAAUUGCUCAACUUGCCUAGCAGUGGUGAAAGUGAUUGUUUUAAUUUAUUUGAGACUGGCUUUUAUCAUUCAGAGCUAAACUCAAUGAAUAUGUGCAGUGAGGAGACGGAAAGAUCUGCAAAGAGACUGAAAAUGGGAAUUGCUGUCCCAGAAUCUUUCAUGAAUGAUGUCUCUGUAAAUAACCUUGGUGUGGACUUUGAGAACCACACACAUCAUAUUACAACUGCCAAAAUGGCUGUUUCAGUGGCUGACUUCAGCAGUCUAUCUACAAAUGACACAAAUGGUUUUAUCAACACCCACGCUCUACACCAACAUACUGCCCUUCACUCAGAAUGACUGUUGAAAAUGAAACAGUGGGUACUUUAUGCUGUAGUAGUAAACUUGAUGAGAACUAUCAGGUUUGCUUAGUCUUUCACUGGAAAUAUGAACUUUAUGACAUCAGUGAUGUCUUUGUAUGUAUAGAGCUAUAUCUUGAUUUAUCAAGAGUAAUUUCUUUUUUCAGUCCAUAAAUGAGGAAAUGUCAUACAACGUUUGACAGAGUUUGAGACUAAAACAAUUCUGUGGUACAGUUUGAAGCUCUGUUCCAAUUUUUUUUUAAAGCCUGUGGACAGAAGCCACCAUUUCAAAAACAGCACAGAAGUUCUGAACUGGUUGAAGUGGCUUUUUAGUAUAAGUUACUUUUGCUGUGAUGAAUGCAGUGGAAUAACAGUGCUUACAGGUACUAAUCCUGACCCCUGCACAACGUAGCAUUUUUUUCUUAUAAAGGGAGGGAUUGCUUUCUUUAAUUUAUGCUGCACAAACACACAAGGAUGAUUUUUAAAUGAAACCUUCUCUCAUGUGAUACUAAACUAGAGCACUUCAAUUUACAAAACAGCAACUUCAUCUUGGUGGAAGCUAGCACAAGGGACUUAACACCAGUAAAGUACAAAGAUGUAUGUUUGGAUGCUGUUACAAAAUUAUAGGCCAUCGCUACCUUAUACAAGCAAUGAUACUACUAGAGGUGUCUGCAUACUUAAAACUUACUGACUGUAGGGGAACUGUUAGGUCAGGGCUUGAACUGGUGAUUGAGCACCUGGUGACCUAGGGAGCACAGGCAAAUUGUUUGCACCCGUGCUCCCCAUGUGACCAGAAAGGGUGGACCUAGGAUGGAGCCACUCUUGGCUUAUAUAAGGGCCAGCACCAGUUAGGCUUAAGUUGUUUUUUGUGAAGGAAUGCUGUGUGGUUAGGGGUUUCUCUUUCCUGUUGGAUGUGUUACCGAUCUGUUGAGUUCCAAGAUUUAACUCCUGUGGGUCCCAGGGUAUAGUGGUAUUGAGACUCCUAAGAAGCUUGGAAGAACAAACACCUGGAGAAUCCAGUACAUUGCAGCUACCUGUGGAGUAAGCAGAGAAGUCAGAAUCAUUGAGAAACAGCAUCUCUAUAAAACAAGUUUGGAAGGGAUCGGUGGCAGAAGCAAGCACUAAGCAGAAGUUGGUCUGGCCUGUUGAUUUAGCCCAGGUGACCCACAUUUUGCUGUGGGUUGAUUUGGUGCGGUUCAGGUAGUGCUUCUGUGCCAAGGGUGAACACUGCGAGCAGGAAUCCAAAUAUGGCCGUCAUCUGUGGAAAGACAAAAAUAACCUCUCCCUACAAAUAUGAUAGUUCUUGGGCCCUUCCAAUCUCUAGCCAAUGGAUCUUUGUAAGAUACUUUUGCAGACUCAGUACUCUCAUACUAGUACCUGAAUGAUGCAAGGUUAUAGCAGGUACCAAUGAGCCGCCUCAUUGUCUCGCUCCUAUUUAGAGGAGGGAGAUUAGGUUAUUUGAAUAUCUGUAUACCCAGCAUGAGAUAAGAAACAGUGGUUCAAAUAUUGGUCCAGCCAGUUAAUUGUAAAUUGAAGUUUCAGAAUACGGAGCGGUCUUCCUGGAGGAGGACUCGCAUCUAAAUUUUCAAAAAAUAUUGCUCCUUGCAACUCCAGGAGGUACACACAGAAAAAAACUUCAAAGUAUAUCUGGAAGGACAACACUCAGAGUGGGUAUCCUGCUGGCUGCGCCAAUAAAAAAUGCCUCGCUCCAAUUUAUAGGAGGGAGAGGAGGUUCUUUUAAUAUCUGUAUACCCAGCGUGAGAUUAAGAAACAAUGGUUCAAAUGUUGGUUCAACCAGUUUAUUAUAAAUCCUAAUCAAGGAGACUGGGAAGGGAAGGAGGGUAAUAGAAAAGGUAGGAAUGUAGCAAGAAUCAAGUAAAGCAGGGAUAGUUACCACCAGGAUCCAGCAGCGGUCUCCUUGCGUGCCAUUGCAAAGGUCUGAGGCAAAAGCAGCACGGGGGGGAGAGCAGCAGCAUGGCCGGCCUUGGGCAGAAAGCAGGUAGCGGAAAGAAGUUGCAGAGCCAAUCUGGGAGGAAGCAGCAGGACUAAGGUAGCAGGCCCAGGAGAGUCCAUCAGCAUGCAGGAAUUCUGUAGUGAGGAAUCUGAUGGCAGACACCUUUGUUCUUCUUCAGCAUCAUGAUAGAGCACAGAGCAAGUCCAGGAGGGAGAGGGGCAGGUCAUGAGGCUUCUCAUGGCAGAAACCUCUUCAAGAGGAAUCAGUUGCCAGAAAAACCUAAACCUCAUGUUUUUCGAUUCUUCUUUUAUCCUCCUUGUUCUCCUGCCUACAUGACAUCCCUGGGUGUUUCAGCAAGAGUUGUGUGAGUACCCCCUGAGAUGGCCAUCUUCCUUGAGAUAAGUCCACACAAAAGACUGCUUCACAGCCAUUAAGCGGCAGCUUAUCGCUCUCUCAUUGCCCGUGGCCUUGUCCAUCUGUGUCCCUCAUACAAAGGGUUUUGCAACCCCUGCCUGGGACUUGCUUGGACUUGUUCAUCUGUGUCCCCAGCAAACUUUGAGACAAUGAUGUAAAAGAUUAAUCUCUUAGACUCAUACAGAAAGGAAGUUAAGGGAGAAAAGAGCACUCAUGAAGCGAUCAGGAAGAUCAUGUAUAAUCAUUCGGAUUAGUUGUGUGUUUAGGGUAGCAUGUGCUACCCCAUUUGGGUAGUAAUCUGAACUGAAGCCUGCUUAGCCUCCAGCGGCAGUACAAUUGCAUCUUUAGCACAUCUCCCUCUUAACUGUAACGACGGUUCCAAUUGAGUGAGCAUUAGGGGUGGAACGGAGGGCCAGAGCGGUGUGACUAGUGUUGAGGGCAGAGCCAAAGGUGGGAGCAAGAGGGGGGUGUUGGAAUUGCUCUUUUCUGCAGUCAGGGAUGAGGUAAGAGCCACGGAUGGAAUCCAGACCAGGGCUGCUUUCUGCACCGAGGGGCAGUGGCAGGCCUGGGAGUGUUGGAAAUACCCAAGUAAUUUUUGUCAGGACGGUAUCUCUGAUAAAAGCAGAGUUUAUUCGCGAUUGCAAUGGCAGGCAUCCCGCAAGCAGGAGCGCGCCUAUGGACGCAUCAUAACAGCCUUUAUACCCUGUUUUCUCCCCCUUGCCUCCACCCUCCCAUUUCCCCACUGGCUGGGUACUCCAGGUUCACAAUCUUAUCAGAAGGCUUUACAUUUGCUAUUUACUUGUUAAUUUAUUUGUUACCUGGUGCCAGUCAGUAGUCAUCCUGUUGUUUCCAAGAUGUCUUCUCGGUGCUCUCCUUGUCCUAUUGAUAUGGUGAUUUUCUUUAAAGUCACCACCGUUAAACAAAGAGCACUGGGAGAUUAUGUCAGGCCUUCCCAAUGUUUCUUCAAGCACUUCCUCGGGUAUGCCAUGGCUUGUUCUCUGGUUUGCUCUCGUGCAGGAUAUUCUUGCAGUGUGUAUGACAAAAUAUACAUAUAUACACCUAUAUACGGAGUUUGCGUUCCUGGGGAGGCUUGUCUAUAAGAUAAGUGAUGUACACUUAUCAGAGAUCUUCCCCAAGUUAAGUAGAAGGACUUCCAAAAAGAACUAUGAUAGCGGAGAUCAUAUAUUAUAAAAUAAUAUACAAUUCUAAUGCAAAAACAACAUUUCAUUCCCACAGACCCCAGCCCAAAUUAAAUCAUUAAGCAUUUGUUUUUGUGAGACCCUUACAGGCCCCGACUGAGAUUUCUGCACAGGUGGCCUCUUGGUUUUAAGUACUAGAAGCACCUCUGCUUCUACUACACAGAGAUUGUGCCCAGUGCGCAGACUGCCUCCCCCAGAUCAACUCCCUCAUCUUCACUUUCUUUAUCUCCUAUCUCCUCUAAUAUCAUAAUUUUAUCCAAAUGUAAUAGCUCCCUUAGUGUUUGUUGUUAUACAAUUUUAUCGCGACGUGUGUUGGUACAGUUCGAGACAAGUGAUGAUUAGUGGAUGUCUAUAUUCUUCUGUGGGCCAGUGCUCGAUGAUGUGACUGGAGGCAUGAGGUCCUGAGGUGCAGGUCCGUUCUAUGUUCCAUCAGUCCCAUGCAGACCAUCACCGGGUGUUGUACGUGAUCUGACAGCAACACUGGAACGCUUGAUGGCAUUUUGUUCCUUCCGGUGGUCCUGAAGGCUCACAGACUCACGGGGAGUAAUACAGAUGUUUUACAGGUACCAGGAGGGGAAGGUCUGCUCUCCAGGGCAAGAUACAGGCUGUAGUUCUGUCUUGGGUCAACACUUCCGCUUGUACUGGGGCACGUCCUGGCUGCCUGUACCACACCUUUUGGCCGGAUAUCUGCGGCUGCAUAACGAUAUCAGGCACCAAAGGAGGUGUCCUGAUCUGCCACAGGGACAUGAUGGGGUCCCUUUAGCAAUAAAGAUCGGAGUGUUGACCACAAUAUCAGUAGGCCAUGUACCUAUUACUGGAGGGACUACUGAGCCUCCCACCUCCAAUAGUCUCCCCCAAGGUGCAAGUAGGCCACACCACUUGGGUCCUACCUGCAUCUU